GUGGGUGUAGCUCAAGUGGUAGAGCACUUGCCUAGGACAUGCAAGGCCCUGGAUUCAAAUGCCAGCACACAGA
rnacentral:tRNA from 1 species